CCAGGACGAUUGGCUGGCACCUUCUCGUGGUGUCCUGGAUCAGUAGCCGCAAUCGCGGCGAAGCCAAGACCGGC
rnacentral:ribozyme from 1 species